GUCUAUGUACAAACAAAAAUUGUUGAAAUGACAAAAGAUAACCAAACAUCAAACCAGAAGUGUCAUCCAGUUAAGAACCACCCCACGAUCAGACAUCUGGAAAUUGAAGAGUAUAUCUAUAAGCACGGGAAACUCUAGGUAGAAGAGAAAAUGUAUAGAAAUAAAAAUACUAUUAUGUACUCCCUUUGCCACCCUCGAUUAACACAAUAUCAAUGACUCAUCAAAGAUCUGUCCGCGUCCAAAAACCAGACCAAGAUAGCCCCCACAUUAAGCUCCUACAGUGAUGGAAUCAAAACCUAUUUUGUAUCUCCUGUCACAGGGUAGGCCCAAAACAAUAUCCAAGUCUAUAUAACAACAAAAGAAUAUAAUAGAGAGAUCAAAUGCAACCAAUUAUGAACCCAGAACUGCCUUCCAGUUAAGCUUGAUUAAGAACCAAACAACGAUCAGGCAUCUGGAAAUCGAAGAGAAUAACAAUAAGCACGGGAAAGUCAAGAUGGAAGAUAAAUUGUAGCAGAAUUAAUACAAUACUAUACUCCCUCUGACACCCUCGAUAAACAUUAUAUCAGUGACAGCAUCAAAAGUUGAUGUCUCCAGUAACUAGACCAAGAUUAGCCCCACCAUAAGCUGCUUCUUUCACAACUUAAUUUUUAACUCCUGUCACAAGGUGAGGCAGAAAACAAUAUCCACGUCUACGUAACAAAUAAAAGAUUGUUGAAACUGACAAAAGAUAACCAAGCAUACCAGAAGUGCCUUCCAGUUAAGAACCACACAACAAUCAGACAUCUGGAAAUUGAAGAGUAUAACUAUUAGCACGGGAAACUCUAGGUAGAAGAGAAAAUGUAGGUAGAAAAAAAAUACUAUUAGUACUCCCUUUACCACCCACUAUUAACACUAUAUCAAUGACAGCAUGAAGGAUUUGUCAGUGUCCAAAAACCAGACCAAGACAGCCCCCACCUUAAGCUCCUACUUGAUAGAAUCAGAACCUAUUUUGUAUCUCCUAUCACAGGGUGAGGCUGAAACCAACAUCCGAGUCUAAAUAACAACAAAAGAACUACAAUAGAGAGAGCAAAGGUAACCAACUAUCAAACCCGAACUGCCGUCCAGUUAAGCUUGAUUAAGAACCACACAACGAUCGGGCAUCUGGAAAUGAAGAGAAUAACGAUAAGCACCGGAAGGUCUAGAUGGAAGAUAAAUUGUAUAGAAGAAAUACUAUACUAUACUCCCUCUGCCACCCUCGAUAAACACACUAUAUAGUGACCACGUCAAAGGAUUGACUUGUGUGCAAUAACUUGACUAAGAUUAGCCCUACCUUAAGCUCCUACUUGAUAAAAUUAAAACUUAAUUUUUAUCUCAUGUCAUAGGGUGGGGCAGAAAACAAUAUCCACGUCUAUGUAGCAAACAAAAUUGUUGAACUGACAAAAGAUAACCAAACAUCAAACAGAAGUGUCUCCAGUUAAGAACCACCCCACGAUCAGACAUCUGGAAAUUGAAGAGUAUAUCUAUAAGCACGGGAAACUCGAGGUAGAAGAGAAAAUGUAGUAGAAUAAAAAUACUAUUAUGUACUCCCUUUGCCACCCUCGAUUAACACAAUAUCAAUGACUACAUCAAAGAUCUGUCGCGUCCAAAAACCAGACCAAGAUAGCCCCCACAUUAAGCUCCUACAGUGAUGGAAUCAAAACCUAUUUUGUAUCUCCUGUCACAGGGUAGGCUCAAAACAAUAUCCAAGUCUAUAUAACAACAAAAGAAAUAUAAUAGAGAGAUCAAAUGCAACCAAUUAUGAACCCAGAACUGCCUUCCAGUUAAGCUUGAUUAAGAACCAAACAACGAUCAGGCAUCUGGAAAUCGAAGAGAAUAACAAUAAGCACGGGAAAGUCAAGAUGGAAGAUAAAUUGUAGCAGAAUUAAUACAAUACUAUACUCCCUCUGACACCCUCGAUAAACAUUAUAUCAGUGACAGCAUCAAAAGUUGAUAGUCUCCAUAACUAGACCAAGAUUAGCCCCACCAUAAGUGCUUCUUUCACAACUUAAUUUUUAACCCCUGUCACAAGGUGAGGCAGAAAACAAUAUCCACGUCUACGUAACAAAUAAAAGAUUGUUGAAACUGACAAAAGAUAACCAAGCAUACCAGAAGUGCCUUCCAGUUAAGAACCACACAACAUCAGACAUCUGGAAAUUGAAGAGUAUAUCUAUAGCACGGGAAAUUCUAGGUAGAAGAGAAAAUGUAGUAGAAAAAAAAUACUAUUAUGUACUCCCUUUCCACCCCGAUUAAACAUAUCAAUGACCAUAAGAUUGUCGGUCCAAAAACCAGACCAAGACAGCCCCCACCUUAAGCUCCUACUUUGAUAGAAUCAGAACCUAUUUUGUAUCUCCUAUCACAGGGUGAGGCUGAAACCAACAUCGAGUCUAAAUAACAACAAAAGAACUACAAUAGAGAAAGCAAAGGUAACCAACUAUCAAACCCGAACUGCCGUCCAGUUAAGCUUGAUUAAGAACCACACAACGAUCGGGCAUCUGGAAAUGGAAGAGAAUAACGAUAAGCACCGGAAGGUCUAGAUGGAAGAUAAAUUGUAUUAGAAGAAAUACUAUCUAUACUCCCUCUGCCACCCUCGAUAAACACACUAUAUCAGUGACCACGUCAAAGGAUUGACUUGUGUGCAAUAACUUGACUAAGAUUAGCCCUACUUAAGCUCCUACUUUGAUAAAAUUAAAACUUAAUUUUUAUCUCAUGUCAUAGGGUGGGGCAGAAAACAAUAUCCACGUCUAUGUACAAACAAAAUUGUUGAAAUGACAAAAGAUAACCAAACAUCAAACCAGAAGUGUCUCCAGUUAAGAACCACCCAGAUCAGACAUACUGGAAAUUGAAGGUAUAUCUAUAAGACACGGAAAUUGGUAGAAGAGAAAAUUAAGUAGAAUAAAAACUAUUAUGUACUCCCUUUGCCACCCUCGAUUAACACAAUAUCAAUGACUCAUCAAAGAUCUGUCCGCGUACCAAAAACCAGACCAAGAU
rnacentral:lncRNA from 1 species